rnacentral:rRNA from 1 species
GACGAACGCUGGCGGCGUGCUUAACACAUGCAAGUCGAACGGUGAACCUCUUCGGAGGGGAUCAGUGGCGAACGGGUGAGUAACACGUGGGCAACCUGCCCCCGGCUCUGGGAUAACUCCAAGAAAUUGGGGCUAAUACCGGAUGUUCACCGCUUCCCGCAUGGGUGGUGGUGAAAAGGGUUUCCGGCUGGGGAUGGGCCCGCGGCCUAUCAGCUUGUUGGUGGGGUAGUGGCCUACCAAGGCGACGAUGCGUAGCCGGCCUGAGAGGGUGACCGGCCACACGGGAACUGGGGCACGGUCCAGACUCAGACGGGGGGCAGGAGUAGGGAAGCUGCCGGAAUGGGCGAAAGCCGGACGGAGCGACGCCGCGUGAGUGAUGAAGGGCGUCGGGUGGUAAGACUGUGUUAUUAGGGAAGAACAAAUGUGUAAGUAAAUAUGCACGUCUUGAGGGUACCUAAUCAGAAGGCGACGGCUAGCUACGUG